AAUUCUGUUUUGUACACAAGAAGCCAGGUUGCAUACAGUAAAAUGAUUAUUAAAAAAAAAAAAAAUUGUUCAUGCACUAGAUGUUAACUAAACCAACCAAUAUUCUACAUUAUUGUAUUGUACAAUGAUACUGCAGUUCUCAGUUUAGUUCGUGUAGUCUUUUAUUGUGCAACUGUUGAUCUCUAAUUUGCUUCCAACAGAAAUUGCCCAUUGUGAAGGAAAGCAAUCUUCUAAUUGCCUAAUGUGAAUGUAGGUAUCGUGGCACUUGACAGUUUCAUUGGGUUGUACAGGAGUUUUGUACCUAAUGCAUUAAAGAAUCUCCCAAACAGCAGAUGCAUUGAGGUCGGAAAGCCUCGAGCUUGUGCCACCUAGCUCUCUUACAAUCCAACACAGGCCUGGAUAGAUGGUGUGCAAUAUCCAAGCUUUCCAUCAGGUGGUUCCCCACUUCUUAAUGCCAUGGUCCAAAAAUCAGGCAAGUCCACUCCAUGUAAGGAUCACCAAAAGCAAGGGCCCCACACCCUUGGCUUAUUAUUAUUAUUAUUAUUAUUUUUCUUACCAAUCUUCAUUGCUUCAAUAUAAUGAAGGGUUUCAAUAAUGUUUGACUUGUAUUAUGUAUUUAUCUUUAGUUGUAAGAUGCUUAUUCAAAGUGGAAGUAACUAUAUAGAGUGUAGGCUUAGGGGUCCACAAUGCUUACAUGGAUGCAUGAUCAACGUUGUUCAUCAGUUUUAUCCUUGAAGAAAAAGGGAAGAAAAAUUUGUCCACAUAUUUAUAAAAAAAAUUCCAUAGCUAUUCUCCUCCAUCUACUAGUCACAGGUAUUUAUUGGUUCCUUUUAUUUUAUAUCCAAUUUGUUUUUUGGUUAUUUUAUUUUGUUUUGUAAACUUUUGUCGUUGCAUUGGUAACUGAAGGUGGAGCAUUUGGGGUGGAGCAUUGGUAACAGAGGGGGGCUUUGCUGCUUCAUAUGGGGAUGGAUAUGGACUUCAUUCGGGUGGUGUUGACAAAGGUCUUUUAUAUGGCAUGAGUUCUAGUUCUUGGGGUGCAUUUGAGAAGUCUCGCCUCGGGCGUCGCUGAAGUCCGUUGAUUUUUUUUUUCUUCUGCUUUUCCUUGUGUCUCAAUCUGUAAAUUUUUUGUCCAUUAUGUAACCUUUCAUUCUCAAGCCCCCUGUAAAUGAGGCUGGGUGUAAAUGAUUUACAGGUUGUGUUUGAAUGCUAAUUUAAUCUUGUAAAGGUCAUUUGAUUUAGAAUAUUUAGCCUAGCAGAAAUUUUAAUUGUUUC